UUCCGACCUGCACGAAUGGCGUAAUGAUGGCCAGGCUGUCUCCACCCGAGACUCAGUGAAAUUGAACUCGCUGUGAAGAUGCAGUGUACCCGCGGCAAGACGGAAAGACCCCGUGAACCUUUACUAUAGCUUGACACUGAACAUUGAGCCUUGAUGUGUAGGAUAGGUGGGAGGCUUUGAAGUGUGGACGCCAGUCUGCAUGGAGCCGACCUUGAAAUACCACCCUUUAAUGUUUGAUGUUCUAACGUUGACCCGUAAUCCGGGUUGCGGACAGUGUCUGGUGGGUAGUUUGACUGGGGCGGUCUCCUCCUAAAGAGUAACGGAGGAGCACGAAGGUUGGCUAAUCCUGGUCGGACAUCAGGAGGUUAGUGCAAUGGCAUAAGCCAGCUUGACUGCGAGCGUGACGGCGCGAGCAGGUGCGAAAGCAGGUCAUAGUGAUCCGGUGGUUCUGAAUGGAAGGGCCAUCGCUCAACGGAUAAAAGGUACUCCGGGGAUAACAGGCUGAUACCGCCCAAGAGUUCAUAUCGACGGCGGUGUUUGGCACCUCGAUGUCGGCUCAUCACAUCCUGGGGCUGAAGUAGGUCCCAAGGGUAUGGCUGUUCGCCAUUUAAAGUGGUACGCGAGCUGGGUUUAGAACGUCGUGAGACAGUUCGGUCCCUAUCUGCCGUGGGCGCUGGAGAACUGAGGGGGGCUGCUCCUAGUACGAGAGGACCGGAGUGGACGCAUCACUGGUGUUCGGGUUGUCAUGCCAAUGGCACUGCCCGGUAGCUAAAUGCGGAAGAGAUAAGUGCUGAAAGCAUCUAAGCACGAAACUUGCCCCGAGAUGAGUUCUCCCUGACUCCUUGAGAGUCCUGAAGGAACGUUGAAGACGACGACGUUGAUAGGCCGGGUGUGUAAGCGCAGCGAUGCGUUGAGCUAACCGGUACUAAUGAACCGUGAGG
rnacentral:rRNA from 1 species